CGGAAAGACUAAUCGAACCAUCUAGUAGCUGGUUCCCUUCGAAUUCCUCAGGAUAGCUGAACAUCCACAGUUUUAUCGGGUAAGCGAAUGAUUAGAGGUUCGGGAGUUGUAACAACUUUCACCUAUUCUCAAAACUUUUAAAUUGGUAAGAUCAGGGAGUUUCUUAAUUGAACUCUUUGACGAAUGUGUGUUCCAAGUGGGCCAUUUUUGGUAAGCAGAACUGGCGACGAGGGUUCAACCUAAGGCAGAGUUGAGGCGACCAAUUGGCAGCUCAUCAGAUGAAAAGGUGUUAGUUCAUUUAGACAGUAGGACGGUGGCCAUGGAAGUCGGAACCCGCUAAGGAGUGUGUAACAACUCACCUACCGAAUGAACUAGCCCUGAAAAUGGAUGUCGCUAAGCAGCCAGCCGAUACUCUGCUGUUCUGCUUGAAGACAGCAGAACAGGUAGAAGGGCGUGAAGGCCGCGCAGAAGGCUUUGUGUAGACAAGGCUGGAGCGACCUUUAGUGCAGAUCUUGGUGGUAGUAGC
rnacentral:rRNA from 1 species